UCUCUCUAUCGGCAGAAAUUAAGUUGUUAAGAUGCUGCCUCGGGCGUAGCCGAGCCAAAGAGAAGAUCGUGAAAGUAAUGGCGGUUCGUGGUCGCCGUGCUUCAUAUCCGCUGUCCCGUACCCUAGUGUGCGUAGAAAACUUUUACUCGAGGCGCGCAAGGUCGAGUACUGGUGUACGUCGCACGUUUUUCAAAAUCGAUAUUAAUUUUUCUCAACGAAUCGAUGAUAUAUGCGCUACUGAGAGAGAGAGAGAAACGCCGUUUCGAUUUGUCUGAUUAUUAUUGUAUCUCGGAGGUUCGUCGUUUCGUACAGUAUUUACUCGAAUUACAAACGUGCCAUCGUCCUCCAGAUUUUUAAUAAGCCGAUCUUCCGGUACGGUCUCCGAAGGUCGCUCCAAAGACGCUCUACGAUUCCUCGUCGACAGAUCUUUCAAUUUUCUUCUUCUCUUUUGCCCCUUCGCCCUUAAUUCCUAACAAUUUCGUUACACUCGCGUUGCAUUAAGACGAUUUUCAAAGUUUCAACGAAACGACUCUAGUAGACGUAAUUCUAACGUAACACCAACGUAAAGCGUCGUCGAAGAUCGUUGUAAAGCUCGUCGUUCAUCGUGCGGGAGAAAUCUAGGGGCUCGACGCCGAGCAGGCGCUCCGAAGCGAGAAGAAAGAUCGUCGGAGAUGGUGCGGUGAAUGCCUCGGUACCGGCAUCUCUAGACUGACGGAUACAUCUUUAUUACGGUAACGUAUCAUAAAUUGACCGAGUUAUCGUCCAUUCGGCAUUAUAACGAUAAGUAACGACGUGCGAAACUGAAAUCCUUUAACGAAGACUCGAUCGAAAGUUAAAGUAGGACGCGCAAGAAAGGUCUACCUGUCGCAGAAAGUUUACCAGCCGCCGCGAUCGAACCAACGACGACUAGAAUCCCGGAGACACCUGCCCGAGGAAUCGGUCGAUCUUUCCGUUUCUUCCGUGGCGAACGAAACUCGAACGAACAACGAGGAAUUUCGCACGUCUAACUUCGAACGUUAAAUUUCCUACGUCUUUCAUUUCUCAACGAGCUAACGAGGAGAUAAAAGGGCAAAAUAUCGAUUUCUCGACUUCCGGCGCGAGAUGCUCUUUAAAUCUCGUUACGAAGGUAAAAUGAUCUUAAACGGUGGCGCAAACGGUGCGAUAAAGUCGGAGCAUUCGUCUUAAUGAGAUCCAGUCGGGCAACUGGAAGGCGUCAUAAAUUUAUUAGAUGCCCGCAUGCGUACGAGCGAGGAGGCGUCAAUUCCGUUUGUCAAACGAGCCGAGACGGUACUUCCUAAACCGAUCUUGAUUCGCUCGUCGUUAUCUUUUCGGACGUUCCAAGAUAAUGUUUUAUUCGAGCGACGUUGUUAAAACGAAUGAGCGGGAGAGAAACGCGACGCGAAAGAGACGCAAGGAGGAGGAAUGGCGCGAGAAGAGGGCUGCCGAAUAAAAAAUGCAGAUUCUGCCGAUACACGGGAGGGGGGAAUGGUAGAGGAGUACACGGGUAGCGGCGCCGAUAUCUCGAUUCGAGAAUCUCCGAGAGCGAGUCCUCGUUGUUCUUUUUCCGUGUCGGAUGAACGUGCACGUAUGCGUGUGCACGUACGCGUACGCGGCUCGGUUCCGUUUAUGUAUUUGCCGUAAAGAGGCGAAACCCCAAGAGGAGAGAGAGAGAGAGAGGCAAGAGACGAUUGUCGGAGGCAGAGGAGAACGCGAGAGGAAGCAAAGAGAGAAAGUAAAAGGAAAGAGAACUGUUCUCACCGCAUGUGUUAAGCAGCGGUGUCGGCGUCCCGAUUGGACGCGGAUCCUGUUUACUCGCGACCACUAUCCUUGUUUACGAUCCUUACUACAAACGCGAAUCCGAAGCCGACGAUCUUUCGAUCGUGAGUUCCGAGUCUCCUCGCGUGUCGGAUCAACGAGUCUCCUUUCUUUCUCUUUCGUAUUUGUUAUUUCUUAAAAAUGUUCCGGUAGAAUUUUUUUAUCGGAGAUAAAAGACAGCGUAGUCGAGCCUUUCAAUUUACGUUUCGUAUUGAAUUCGAUGCCUAUCGUACAAAUAAUCUAUUGUCUUCUUCCGCGUCGAAAGAUCGUUCUUUUCCUUCCUUCGAACAUCGAGCGAAAUUGCGACCGCGACGCGAACCAGACGCGAUCGGAGGAUCGAUCGACUCCUCGCGUACGUUUUGCAUGCGAGAAAUGUUAUUAUUUACUUAUAUCUCGUUUACUCACUAAAAAUUUCCUUUUUCCGACGUAGCGGUGCCUGCGCCUUUGGCCCGCAGCCGCGAAACUUGUCACGGAAUAAACUACCUUCCCUCGACAAAGCGCCAAAUAAGAGCAACGAAUGCGGUUAAAUCAGACAUUCAAAAUGGCCGGCUCGUCCGGACCGUGGGUGUUGAAAAGGCCCGAAGGCCUUUAGCCGUAUCCAUCCUUGCCGUGCUAAAUCUCGCGUGAAUACCAGCCUUAGUAUCCGCACGAAGGGCUGGUAAAAAGAAAGAGCGGGGAGAGAGAGGAAGAAGGAGAAAAGGAGGAGAGCAGAAGAAGAAAGACCAGGAGCAUCGAAGAUAGAGACGUCAAAUCCCUUUUGCGUUUCCACGCUACGCGUUGCCCAUUGCUGUGCUUUUCUAGUCGUAAGAAAGGAACGACUCUCUCUCUCUCUCUCUCUCUCUCUCUCUCUCUCUCUCUCUCUCUCUCCUUAUUUCUCUUCCAGAUUCGCUCUAUUCUAACUCUCACAAUGCGGGCCGAUCAAAGGAUCCUUUAAAAAUGUUUCUAUUGGUUCUAAGAAAAGACGAGCUUAGAAAUAUCAUGACGUAACGAAAGGAAAUAAUGAAAGGAUAUUCGUCGACAUCAUUUCGAGGGGUACUCGGACGCUUCUGGAUAUACGAUGGCUAGAAAUGACUAGGAAGUGGACGCUCGAAGGGGAUUCGUUAAAGAUUUUGACGAGAUAGCUCGAGGAAACGAAAGAGCGUUCCAAGAAGGAAGCGAAGAACGACGCAGAAAUUUGUCGCAUCCACGAAAGUGAUCUUUCUCGUCUUCUCGGUCCUCUCCAUGGAGUCGAGAUUCGGUGCGAGCAAUUAAGGAAUAAGGAUUUAUCGCGGUCUCUCGUCCAAUCCCUUGUCGCUCGUUUUUCUUUCUUUCUCGUCUCUCUUAACGACCGGCGUUCUAGUUUUUCGAAAGAAAAUCUUUGUUCGACAGGAAGAUACGCGUCAGCAAUAUCAUUAAAUAACGAGUAUAUUCGUAAGAUCGACCCCGUUUCCGUUUCUAUUCUUUUAGAUUUUCAGACUCCGAAGGCCGCGAUUGGUCUCGAUGACAUAUACGUAAAAGAAAACAUAAGAGCGUGUGUACGUUCGAGGGUGAUCGAGCGGCGCGAUGCCAAGGCAAUAACGAGCGGCGACUUUGCUAGCCGUAUCUCUUGACGUCUUAAUGAAGCAAUCACGAGGGCCCUCGAGAUCCUCUCGAGAGGGUCCGUCGAGAGAGAGAGAGAGAGAGAGAGAGAGAGAGGCCCAGAGGGAGGAGAAGAGGGACCGGCGACUAACGAUCGAGCGGAACGUUGAGAAAAGAGGAAGGGAGGAAAAGGGAAUCGAGAUCUCUUUCGACGAUGUACCGCGUUCUCGCUCUCUCUUUCCUUCUCCCUCCCUUUCGUGUCUCUUUUCUUUCUCUUUUCUCCCCUCUUUCCUUGGAGAACGCCGCGAGAAGGCGUCGAUGGGGCGUGCCUCGAAGAUUUUAGGUUCAACGAUUCUUUGGCAGGAGGAUUUCUUUCGAGGCUCCUCUGAAAGGAGAGGGAGAAAAGAAGAAAUCUCGUGGCGAGGAACAAAGAGGAUGGAAAAUCAUCGAUCCUUCUUUAUUUACCGAGAGAGGUCAACUGUUUUUUCGUGGAAAUGAUAAAAGGUAUCUUGAAAAAUUGGUCGUGUCUCGGUAGAUGCUGAGAUAAAUUCGUACGACUAAAUUAACAAAGAAAAAAAUAUGAAAGAGACGAAAGAAAAAGAGAGAACCAUAUAGGAAGAUUAUCACAUAUUCUUCGGAUCACCCUUUGGUCGGGAACAACGCCGCUGAUUAUCUCGUAACGUAUGCUUUUCCUUUCCGAGAAGGAGACUAUCGGAGGACGCACGAUUUCGUAAAAGCGAACACCCCGCUGAGAGAUUCGCUUGACAGGAGCGAGGCUACGCGUUAAGAACUCCCGUCGUGUUACGGCAUUUGUCAAGAGGUGUUCCCUGUCUCGUACCUGUUUCGUCUCUGUUUUCUCUCCCUCUCUCUCUCUCUCUCUCUCUCUUAUAUCUUUUAUUAUCGCCCGUUUAAAAUCGAAUCAAAGGAAACAUUUUCUUUCGUUUUAGGAUUCGUUUCGAAUAGAUCCGACAUAGUUUCGAUGUACGUACAAAUUUCCUUUUAUUCGCAUUUGCAUUCAGUCCUAUCGUAACGAAGCCGGUACCCUCUUCCGUGGAAAAAAGAGAAAAGGAAGGUAGGUAAUUCGUCCGCGUGACGAUAUUGUCAUAGAUAAUAUCCGUUCGAAACUUUUCGAAUCGACAACAGCCGAUGAACGUUCUUUCGUUUUCUUCGAUCUUGAUAAUGCAAAGAUCCUAAAUUAAUAUGCCUCUCUGUAGUCUUCCUUUGCGCCUUUACGUCAUGACCCGUGCUUCGCUUUCUCUUUUCUUAUCUUCCAUCACCUUUUUAUACGUCCCAUUGACAUUGUUCCAUUGACUGAAAAAGAAAAAUAUCUCGUAAGGAAAGAGACACGAUUCGAACGAAAUGUAUGGAUUUUGCAAAAAUCACGAAGAUUCGAUCGGUAGAUUAAAAAGUUUGUAUGCAUUCUCGAAAAAAGAUCUUCUUCUUCUACCAGUUUUAUUGCGUUCUUAUAUCGUAUUAAAAGAGGGCCACGAUUUUUCCAAUCAAUCGCUUUUUACGUAAGAACAAUGAGAAGGAUUAAUUGAUUAUUCGUUCGAAGGGAAAGCAGAAAAACGAAACGAAAGGAAGAAGGCGCCAAAAGAUUCUUCGAAGCGAUUCGCGUGCAACACGAACGUGUACACAUGCAUAUGCAUGUGUUCCGAUGGGAAAAGUACCAGAAUGCCGAUCGCUCGCGCGAUGUCAGCGCCUAUUUAACUUUGUUAGGGUCGCACGCAUAACAAGCGGCUUAUACGUGAAUACCAAUGAGAAGCUCUUACGGCGAAGCUAAACGAUCUUCGGAGAAUAACGAUCGCAUGCAUGUUUCCCCGUGUCUGGCUCACGAGUACAGUCGGAUCUCUCGAGAUCCUUCGUUCUUGCGAUCGUUGAUCGUCGUGAUUUGAACAAUUGCGACGAGGCACGUCGAACCUAAAGGGAUGCUUUUAAGGAUCCAGAUAAAACUACGGGAUUCCCUCUUGUAUAAAGAUCUACGAUGAUAGCAGAGAUUACCGGAUAUACCUACUCGUUUGUACGUAUCCGUUUAGAUGUAUCUACGAUAAAUCACGUCGAUCGUCAAUAGUCCUCGAGCACUUUUUCUUUCUUCGAUUUCCAUUAAUAUAGAUAAAACCUAACGGAUCAAAAAUUUCGAGACUUAUAUAAUGCACGCGCACGAGCGUGUGCGUACCGAAAGACUCGCGGGAUAUUAUGAAAGAAUAUUUAAAUACGCGCAAGAAGAUUGUUUGAUUUUAGGCUUUAAGAAGCGCGUGCCGGGUGCCGCGUGGCAUAGUUUGCUUAGAUUACCUGGGCCAAAGACCUAUCACUUUCGGAGCUCCUUACUUCCAAGUCCAAGUUCUUACCUAAAGUUUACUUUGCUUUCCUUCACUCGGGACCAUUGUCCUGGCGAAGGCCCUACGCCUUACUAAAAAGAGAUAGAAGGGCUGUCGAGGUUCUCAACAUCGCAACCAACGUCUUUAUAAAAGCUCGCCGACGUUCUUUUCGCUAGAAAAUCGAAUCUUCGAGCAUCGCGAAAGUUAUUAUCAAGGAAAAUUUUUCAAUGAAAAUACUUUUUUCAAGAUCGACGAGUAUCGACAAAAAAACUAAUUUGUAUUUACCAUCUCUUUCGUCGACGAUGGAAUCAAAAGGUUUCAGAAGCUUUUCAAAGAUUCGUUUUUCAAUUCGUUUUUAAAUUAAUUUCGCGAUUUAAUUUCACGAGGCGAUUUUUCAAGUCGACGCACGACAGCUUCGAGAGAACGGAAAAGGGAUAAAACUCGGAAAAGAACUCGGUUGAGAGUCACAGGACCCCUCGGAGGCCCCGUCGAGCUCGUCGAAGGAGAGGGAGACGAGUAGGAGCAAAGUAGGGGUGGAGUCGUGUCGAUGGAGAAGGAGAAAAGAGAAGGAGAGAGAGAGAGAGAGAG